UACGUAGGGUGCAAGCGUUAAUCGGAUUUACUGGGCGUAAAGCGUGUGUAGGUGGCCGCGUAAGUCGAUUGUGAAAUCCCUGGGCUUAACCCGGGAAUUGCAGUCGAUACUGCGUGGCUCGAGUUCGGUAGAGGACGGCAGGAUUCCCGGUGUAGCGGUGAAAUGCGUAGAGAUCGGGAGGAAUACCGAUGGCGAAAGCAACCGUCUGGGCCUGAACUGACACUGAGAGACGAAAGCUAGGGGAGCGAAUGGG
rnacentral:rRNA from 1 species